rnacentral:tRNA from 1 species
AGUCAAUGAGCUUGAAUAAGCAUAUAUUUUGAAAAUAUAAGAUAAAAUAAUUUUUUUAUUGGCUU